GUCCCUGUAGCGUAAUGGAUAUCUCGUUGGACUUCUAAUCCAAAGGUCGUGGGUCCGAAUCCCAAUUGGGAUA
rnacentral:tRNA from 1 species